CCCCUGUUCAUUCAUUUAUGUGUAUUGCUAUUUACCUCUGGUGACAUGUGAGAAGCACUCAUCUAUAUGUUUAUAUUUUGAGCAGCUAGGUACAACUACAGUUGCAGAAUCAUCUAGCCAAAUUUUGGGAGGAUGGCAUAAAAGAUUAGAUAACCCAUGCUUUUGAAAUCAUGGUAGGCUUCACAAGCUUGUAAGGUGUUUUCUGUUUUCAAGCGACUUUACAUCAAUUUACUGUUUCUCAACCAAAAUUCUAGACUGUAUAGCUCUUUAUUGUUCUCUCCACUUAUUUGUACAGCCAAGGAUGCUUACUUAACUGUAUAGCUCUUUAUUGUUCUUUUUCAGGUAUUCUAUUUAUGCUCCAUCCCGAAAUCUAU
rnacentral:lncRNA from 1 species